GCUCCAAUAGCGUAUAUUUAAGUUGCUGCAGUUAAAAAGCUCGUAGUUGGAUUUCGGGUGGGGCCUGCCGGUCCGCCGUUUCGGUGUGCACUGGCCGGGCCACCUUGUUGCCGGGGACGAGCUCCUGGGCUUAUUGUCCGGGACUCGGAGUCGGCGAGGUUACUUUGAGUAAAUUAGAGUGUUCAAGCAAGCUUCACGCU
rnacentral:rRNA from 1 species